AUUGAACGCUGGCGGCAUGCUUUACACAUGCAAGUCGAACGGCAGCGCGGGCUUCGGCCUGGCGGCGAGUGGCGAACGGGUGAGUAAUACAUCGGAACGUGCCCAGUCGUGGGGGCUAGCUCGGCGAAAGCCGGAUUAAUACCGCAUACGACCUGAUGGUGAAAGCGGGGGAUCUUCGGACCUCGCGCUAUUGGAGGGGCCGAUGGCAGAUUAGCUAGUUGGUGGGGUAAAGGCCUACCAAGGCGACGAUCUGUAGCUGGUCUGAGAGGACGACCAGCCACACUGGAACUGAGACACGGCCCAGACUCCUACGGGAGGCAGCAGUGGGGAAUUUUGGACAAAGGGCGAAAGCCUGAUCCAGCAAUGCCGCGUGUGUGAUGAAGGCCUUCGGGUUGUAAAGCACUUUUGGCGGGAACGAAAAGGACUGUGCCAAUACCACGGUUCGAUGACGGUACCCGCAGAAUAAGCACCGGCUAACUACGUG
rnacentral:rRNA from 1 species